AUGUCCAUGCUGCUGAUCCCUGCAUACACUCCCGUUAGGAGAAGAGCCCCCCCAGUCACAAAAACUGUGAAAACCUGGCCAGAAGGUGCAUCACAUCAGCUGCAGGACUGUUUUGAAAACACGGACUGGAGCGUGUUUGAACAUCAGGAGCUUGAAGAGCACACAACAUCAGUGCUCUCAUAUAUUAACUUCUGUAUCAACAGUGUCACUGUGGACAAACGUCUCUGGGUGUAUUCCAACCAGAAACCCUGGAUGACUAAAGAGGUCCAGGUCCUGCUGAAGCAACGUGACGCCGCUUUUAGAUCCGGUGAUGGUAUGCAGUACAGUGCAGCCAGAUCUAAGUUGAAAACAGGCAUCAGAGAAGCCAAGGCAGCGUACAAGAGAAGGAUUGAAGACCACUUCAGCAACAACAACUCACGACAGGUAUGGCAGGGAGUUCAGCGCUUAACCAACUACAAACCUUGCAAUACCACAUUGACUGAGGGUAACGCGGCGCUUGCGGAGGAGCUAAACCACUUCUUUGCACGAAUUGAGGUGAAGGGACCAGAGGCAGCAGCAGCAAAAACAUCGGACAGCAGCAGCAGCCCAAGCCUCAUAGUGCAGGAAUAUGAGGUGAGGCGCACACUAAGGGCAGUGAACCCCAGGAAGGCCGCCGGACCAGAUGGGGUAACUGCAAGGGUCCUAAGAGAGUGUGCAGACCAGCUGGCUGGGGUCUUCACUAAGAUCUUCAACACUUCACUGUCCCAGUCCUGCAUCCCGCCGUGCCUGAAAUCAGCCACAAUUGUCCCGCUGCCAAAGUGUACUAACAUUAGCAGCCUCAACGACUACCGACCAGUUGCUCUAACACCUGUUAUAAUGAAGUGCUUCGAGGAACUGGUCCGACGUCACAUCAUGUCCUGCCUGCCACCCACACUCGACCCGCUCCAGUUCGCAUACAGAGCUAACAGAUCAACUGAAGAUACCAUUGCUACAACGCUCCACACCACUAUCUCUCACCUGGAAGUGGAGGGCCGUUACGCCAGGCUGCUCUUUGUUGACUUUAGCUCUGCUUUCAAUACGAUACUCCCGGACAGACUAAUAGUUAAACUGCUGGAAAUCGGACUUCCUUCUACCACCUGCUGCUGGAUCAGAGACUUCCUCUUAGAUCGUGUACAGAGAGUUAGAGUGGGGCCUCAUUUUUCCUCAGCCCUCAGCCUCAACACCGGCUCUCCACAAGGCUGUGUACUGAGUCCCCUACUGUACACUCUGUACACACAUGACUGUGUUAGUACCCACCCAGACAACGCAGUCAUCAAGUUUGCAGAUGAUACCACCGUGGUGGGGCUCAUCUCUGGGGGAGAUGAGACGGUGUACAGAGCUAAAGUUCAGAGGCUGUCAGAUUGGUGUGUAGAUAACAACCUGGACCUCAAUACCACCAAGACAAAAGAACUGGUUGUUGACUUCAGAAGGAGGAAGUCUGAGCUGCAGCCUGUCAGCAUCAACGGGGAGUGUGUGGAAAGGGUCUCCAGUUUCAAGUUUCUGGGUGUGCACAUAGACACAGACCUCCAAUGGAGCUCUAACACCUCUGCGGUUUUAAAGAAGGCCCAACAGCAUCUCCACUUUCUGAGAAUCCUCAGAAAAAUGGACCUGAAGAAGGAGCUGCUGACCGUCUUCUACCGCUGCUCCAUUGAAAGUGUGCUGACAUAUUGCAUCGGUGUGUGGUUCUCCAGCUGCACCACAGCACACAGAAAGGCACUCCAGAGGGUCAUUAAUAUGGCCCAAAAAAUCAUUGGACAUCCUCUUGCCUCCCUGAAGGACCUGUACAGCACUCGCUGGGCACGCAGCAUCCUACGGGACUGUACACACCCAGGACACUGGGUGUUUAAGCUGCUGCCGUCUGGCAGGAGGUUCAGGCUGCUGAGGUCCCAAACAAAUAGACUCAAACCAGCUUUUACAACAGGGCAACAGCCCUAA
rnacentral:lncRNA from 1 species